GAGAUGGCUCAGUGGUUAAGAGCACUGGCGGCUCUUCCAGAGGAGCUGGGUUCAAUUCCCAGUNCUCA
rnacentral:tRNA from 1 species